rnacentral:snoRNA from 1 species
AAGAUCAUACUUCAAGGGAUCAUUUCUAAACUAUGAUUAACGCUAUACCUAUCCAACAGGUGGCAACAAACAGCCAUGAUUAGGAGAUGAGGAGUCUUCCAGAGCAGGAAGCAGAGUGAUAGUUGUCCGAUUGGGGGACUUCAUCAUUGAUGAGUGUACUCUUUAUUGAGAGUGGGAAGAAACCCGUUCUGAAUGGU